rnacentral:rRNA from 1 species
UACGAAGGGGGCUAGCGUUGUUCGGAUUUACUGGACGUAAAGCGCGCGUAGGCGGCUUUGCAAGUCGGGUGUGAAAUCCCCAGGCUUAACCUGGGAACUGCAUUUGUGACUGCAUCGCUGGAGUGCGGCAGAGGGGGAUGGAAUUCCGCGUGUAGCAGUGAAAUGCGUAGAUAUGCGGAGGAACACCGAUGGCGAAGGCAAUCCCCUGGGCCUGCACUGACGCUCAUGCACGAAAGCGUGGGGAGCAAACAGG